UUAAUAUUAUUUUUUUUUAAAUCUAAUAAAAGGUAAACGAUGGCACAUUUCUCAUCAGUCUUACACAAAUCAAAAACUCUAUUUCUCAAAAUAUUGAUCCAUGUCUGCAGUCUUCUAUUUUUAGGGCUGGCAUGGAUUGCAGUGUCAAAGUUGUGGGGACCUAAAUACCUGGUGGCACCCCUGCUCACACUGUAACAGCUGGGAAAGGCUCCAGCACCGCUGUGACACUGGAAUUGAUUAUUUAAAACAACAGUGAGUAUCUUAUCAGUGUGUACUUCAAAAAUCAGUCCUGUACUGCCAUCUUCAGUAUGAUAGAUGAGAUAACACAUAACAUGUGAACACUUCCCCCUUUUUGAACACCAUAAAGACAGAUAUGGUUUCAGCUCGAUUAUUUUAUAACAGGCUCAAAGUUCAGCAUUUGACACAGUUUAUACCUGAUCUAACCAGAUUCAACAAUGUGUGUUAAUCUGAUAAAUUCAUAUUUUUCCAGCAAUAUACUUUGAUUAACAAGAACUUGGAAUCUUAAGAAGCUAUUUUUUUUCCAAAACUCUGACCAUAUAUGAGGGAUCUGCAGUUGAUAAGCCGGUAAGACGCAGUUUAAUGAUUUUCAGACUUAGUCUCACAGAACUUUCCACAGGUAAGUCUCUUUCAAAUUCGGUAUUUGUAAGUUCUACAUGCUUUUCUGAUGUCUAGUUAAAAAGUCUAAUUAUAAUAUAAUUUAUUUCACUGUCAUAAAUAAAUCUUUGUAAAUGUAGUGAAAUGCUUUAGAAAUGAAUCGCUGAGAUUUUAGAUAUUUGACUGGAGAGCAGAAAAUAAAGUUUAUAAAGUGAAAGUAUACAUUAAAGGCCUGGGCAGAGUAAUUCUAUUGUGGACCAAAACCGUAUCUAUCUAUGAAAAGUCAUACAAAGGUAAUUUCAAGAACAGAGUUAGCACUGAUCAACAGUUAUUCUCUAGGCUGCGAUUUGCUUUAAUCAAUAACUUUAUGUCUGUUGCUUUAACUCUGGAGUUACGGCAAUAACAUGUUAAGUGAAAGUCAUGUUGACUGGGCGUAGCGUUUUGUGGGAGAAACGUUUUGUCACUCAUCCAAGUGACUUCUUCAGUCUCAGCUGACUGCAGGUUUCCCCAAUCUUAUAAACAGAACAUUUGCAUAAUGACUGAAACCAGCCCACUGAAGGCACAAUCCGAUCGAGAAUCUGUGGCAAGAUCUGAAAACUGCUGUUCACAAACGCUGUCCAUCUAAUCUGACUGAGCUGGAGCUGUUUUGCAAAGAAGAAUGGGCAAGGAUUUCAGUCUGUAGAUGUGCAAAGCUGGUAGAGACAUACCCUAAAAGACUGGCAGCUGGAAUUGCAGCAAAAGGUGGUUCUACAAAGUAUUGACUCAGGGGGCUGAAUAAUUAUGCACACCCCACUUUUCAGUUAUUUAUUUGUAAAAAAUGUUUGGAAUCAUGUAUGAUUUUCGUUCCACUUCUCACGUGUACACCACUUUGUAUUGGUCUUUCACGUGGAAUUCCAAUAAAAUUGAUUCAUGUUUGUGGCUGUAAUGUGACAAAAUGUGGAAAAGUUCAAGGGGGCCGAAUACUUUUGCAAGCCACUGUAUGCCCUAUAGCUGCAGAAAAGGCUAACAUUGUUAUCUUUUUACAAAAAAACAGCUGAACAUGAGAGGUUUUUGGACCAAUUUUGUGUUCUCCAUUCUUUAAGCACCGGUUUGAGCACCGGCACUGGUAUCGGAUAAAACCUAAACGAUACCCAUCCUUGGUCACAGACACUUCGCCUGCUAGUUUGGCUCGUUGCAUCAUCCUGUUAAUUUUAUCAGUUGUUUUUCUUGUACGUAGAAAGAGGAAACACCUGAUGAGGACCAAUAGAAGGCCAAAGGAUCAGACUGAAGAUUUUCAAGUGUCCUCUGAAGAAGACAGAGAGAGAGAGCAGCUCAGUAUGAUGUGGAAGUUGCCAAUAACUUCAAGGCAGCAGCUUCAGGAGGAACAACAGAGGAGGGAGGCUGCUGAAAAUACACUUGGCGACCUGCAGAACGAUAAAGAAAAGUUGGAGAAGAAGAAUACUGAAAUCAUCAAUCAGCUCCAGCACGAGAAAGAAACAUUAGAGGAGCUGAAGAAGCAGCUGGAGUCCAAAAAUCAGGAGCUUUCUGACAGCAUCAGUGAGCUUAACAGGGAGAAAAGGAUAAAGGAGAGUGAAAUAAACACCAUGAGGGUUCAGCUGGAGUCCAACAAACAGGAGAUGAUGAAAUCUGAGAGGGAGAAGGAUGAAAUCAUUACGAAGCUGAGGCAGACGAUCCUUACACUGGAAUCAAAGGCCAGUCUCCAGGAGGAGAAACAGAGAAGGGAGAAAGCUGAGAAACAAGUUCAGAUGUUGCCAACAGAAACAGAGGAGGAGAAACAGAACAAAGAGGAAACUGAGAAAAAAGUUCAGACCUUGCAGAUCAAAACAGAGAAGAUUUCUCACAUCAACAGUCCGUCCAAGCAGAAGAAAUAGACACUGAAGGAGCCUCAGAAAGAAGUCAAGGAACAGCCCAAGAAUCAGUGCUGUGCUUUCUGAUUUGAUUUUUAAAGAAUUAGUUUACAUUUAUGUUUACAUCAACAGCUGGUGUGACAAAGCAAAUUGCAAGGCACCCAUAUGUGUAUGCUUGUGUGCAGAACAGAGAGCAAUUUUAAAAUGUGUAACUUGAAUGCUGUUAUACCCCCAACUGGUCACAGCAGAUGUCCACCCCUCCCUGAGCCUGAUUCUGCUGGAGGUUUCUUCCUCUCAAAUCGGCAUUUUUCCUUCCCACUGUCACCAAGGAACUGGACUCACAUUGAGGUUUUUUGAUUGUUGGGGUUUUCUCUGUAUUAUUGUACGAUCUUUACAUGACAACAUAAUGAACUUUGACUUUGUGACUGUUGUUGUGAUUUGGUGCUAUAUAAAUAAAAUGUAAUUGAAA
ensembl:lncRNA